rnacentral:rRNA from 1 species
UACGUAGGUGGCAAGCGUUGUCCGGAAUUAUUGGGCGUAAAGCGCGCGCAGGCGGUCCUUUAAGUCUGAUGUGAAAGCCCACGGCUCAACCGUGGAGGGUCAUUGGAAACUGGGGGACUUGAGUGCAGGAGAGAAGAGUGGAAUUCCACGUGUAGCGGUGAAAUGCGUAGAGAUGUGGAGGAACACCAGUGGCGAAGGCGGCUUUCUGGUCUGUAACUGACGCUGAGGCGCGAAAGCGUGGGGAGCGAACAGG